rnacentral:tRNA from 1 species
GUCCCCAUAGUUUAAUGGAUAGAACGCGAGCUUGCGGAGCUUGCGAUGGAGGUUCGAUUCCUCCUGGGGACA